rnacentral:rRNA from 1 species
CGGAGGGUGCAAGCGUUAUCCGGAUUCACUGGGUUUAAAGGGAGCGUAGGUGGCUUUGUAAGUCAGUGGUGGAAUAUUGCGGCUCAACCGCAAAACUGCCAUUGAUACUGCUUAGCUUGAAUCACGUCGAGGUGGAUGGAAUAAUACAUGUAGCGGUGAAAUGCUUAGAUAUGUAUUAGAACACCGAUUGCGAAGGCAGUUCACUAGGCGUGUAUUGACACUGAGGCUCGAAAGCGUGGGGAUCAAACAGGAUUAGAUACCCUGGUAGUCCACGCCCUAAACGAUGUAAACUCGACAUUAGCGAUAUACUGUUAGUGUCCAAGCGAAAGCGUUAAGUUUACCACCUGGGAAGUACGACCGCAAGGUUG